CUUAGGUUGGAGGGGACCUUAAAGAUCAUCGAGCUCCAAACCUCCUGCCAGAGGCAGGGUUGCCACCCAGCAGAUCAGGCUGUCCCGGAUUCCACCCAACCGGGCCUUGAAUGCCUCCAGAGAUUGGGCAUCCACAACGUCUCUGGGCAAUCAAGGCAAUCAGUAGCCUGAAAGCGCUGUAAACUGAUCCUGAUCGCUAUUAGGUGUUUAAUGGAAGGUGGCAAGCACCUGUAAGCACUAUGCUGAGUGCUGCUUGGUUCUGCCUUUUAGGAGAGGAAGGAAGUGCAUUCUUGUAAUUUGGGCUCUGGAUUCAGCUGAGAGGCAGGAGUACCAAUGUUUUCUUUUUAGAUCUGAGGAGAGCUACCUGAAGCAGUCCGUUCCAGUACCAUCUAAAGGGAAAGAUAGUACGUUGUUUCAACUGAGAACGGAAUUUACUUUGCUACCAGAAGUGCUUGGUUUCUAUGUCUGUGACAUGUGAACUCCUUAAGGCAAGGAACAGCUCUUUGUUUGAAAAAUAGAUCACAUUGUGACUAUGACUCUGAACAAACAAGGAUGUUGUUUUGCAAUAGCUGGGCCCCUUAACAGUUUACACAGAGAAUUUGUGUCUGGGACAGAGCAGAUGGAAGUGCUGGAGUUGAAUUUGUCUGAAAAGAACAAUUUUUUGGUAACCUUCUUUGUCCUUGAUCUCUGA
rnacentral:lncRNA from 1 species